CAAUCUAUAACUCUUUAUCCAUGGACAUCCUGAGCUUCUCAAGCUCUUCAAAAUCUUUGAUCAUUGUCAAACAAUGCUCAUGGACUGACUGCCCAUCAUGCAUUUUUAUCUAGAAGAGUCUCUUAGAUACUACAUAGCAAGCUGCGUGACUCUGCUUACCAUACAACUCUUGUAAGUGAGCUAACAUACUUCUGACAGUUUUCAUGUCCUCGUGCUAGCAUUGG
rnacentral:lncRNA from 1 species